GUGGUCGUAGCUCAGUUGGUAGAGCGCUAGGUUGUGGUCCUGGAUGCCGUGGGUUCGAGCCCCAUCGACCACCCCA
rnacentral:tRNA from 1 species